UACAGAGGUGCCGAGCGUUAGGCGGAAUCACUGGGCUCAAAGCGUGUGUAGGCGGACUUCUAAGUACCUUGUGAAAUCCCACGGCUUACCCGUGGAACUGCUGGGUAUACUGGUCGUCUUGAGCCACCUAGGGGCCAGCGGAACAAAUGGUGGAGCGGUGAAAUGCGUAGAUAUCAUUUGGAACGCCAACGGUGAAAACAGCUGGCUGGGGGUGUGCUGACGCUGAGACACGAAAGCCAGGGGAGCGAACGGG
rnacentral:rRNA from 1 species